GUACGUUUCACCCUCGGGUGACAGGGAGACAGGUGGUGGCAUGGUUGUCGUCAGCUCGUGUCGUGAGAUGUGGUUAAGUCCCGCAACGAGCGCAACCCCUACGUUUAGUUGCUAACGCGUGAAGGCGAGCACUCUAGACGAACUGCCGUUGACAAAACGGAGGAAGGUGGGGAUGACGUCAAAUCAUCAUGCCCCUUAUGUUCUGGGCUACACACGUGCUACAAUGGCCGGUACAGACGGACGCAAAGCCGCGAGGUGGAGCAAAUCCUAAAAAGCCGGUCUCAGUUCGGAUUGCAGGCUGCAAUUCGCCUGCAUGAAGUCGGAAUCGCUAGUAAUCGCAGGUCAGCAUACUGCGGUGAAUACGUUCCCGGGCCUU
rnacentral:rRNA from 1 species